CAGAGAUAGAGACAGCCAGCGAGAGAGGGAACACAAGCAGGGGGAGUGGGAGAGGAAGAAGCAGGCUCAUAGCAGAGGAGCCUGAUGUGGGGCUCGAUCCCAUAACGCCGGGAUCACGCCCUGAGCCGAAGGCAGACGCUUAACCGCUGUGCUACCCAGGCGCCCCUGAUUUUGUAUGAAUAUUAUUCCAUUCUUAUAGACUACUAGAUCUCCUCAAUGCUAUUAUCAUAAUAUUUGUCUUUGCAUUUUGUAUUUAAAACAGAGUUCCCCAGUGCAGCCCCCAAGAAGAGUUCCCCUGCAAGGUUUUUGUUGUUGUUGAACAUUCAAGGAAUGUCAGUACGUGGAUAUUUCUACUCAAAAGGCCUCUUUCCACUUUCUCAGUAUAAAGCAUCAAAUGCACUUUCAUUUCUUCCCAAACUCAUGCCCCAUGUCAACCAUGGUGGUUCAGCCAACUAUCCCACACCCCCUACAGGGAGCACCCACCAGGAAUCUCCAGCAGGUUCACAGAAAUAGAAAAACCAUGUGAGAUUUCUUGGUGCAAUUUCUUCAAAUAUUGACGUCUCAAAUUUGGGAGACAGUAUAAAAGGAAGAAAAGGAGGAAUAUGUUGUGCUGAUUAGGUAACAAAUUGAAAAACCAUGGGGCAUUUCUGCUUUGGAGAAUGAAGCUGUAGCUGUGGGAAAUAAAGCCCUAUGUAAAUCACUGAUGGAAUUAAUGCAUUUUAAAGGUUAUCAGAGCAAAACUGCUGAAUCCUAGAGUUUGUCAUCAGUAAAUUAAAUGCAAAAUCACUAAUUUAAUUUGUGAAUUACCAGUUGACUUCUAAUGUAUGGAAUAAUAAGAACGAACGCUACUUUAUGAGCUGGAAAUAAGAUUUUUUUUUUAUUUUCAAAAGAGCAAAAAGACAAGAAAUAAAGUUGAUUCAGAGCCCAAAUAAUCUUUUAGUUAUAAUAAUUUGUUGACUUCUAACAAAAAAAAUUCUUUCUGGGUUAUAUUUGUGAUUUUUUUCAUUCAAAUAUAACUCAGAUGAAAUGCAGGGAGGCAAUUGCCUUCCUCUGAAAACCAGUCUGGUUCUGACCCAAGAGAAGAGGAUUCCAAGCCAGGACAAUGAGGGCAUACUGCAGUUUACCCAGGAGAACCAUCUGCACUCCAGUUUCUCAUCCUUAAACUCGAUUGAGAGGAAUAAAAGUUGAGGGUUUUUUCCAUAUGUUUUUCAUUGAGCAUGAGAUUCUGAGCUGUAUGAAAUUGACCUAACAAAAGAGACUUUUGUGACAAUAUCUAGGAUAGCAGAAUAAAUUCAAAUUCUGGACUCUAGCAAAAAAUGAGUUAUAGCAUAUUAGAACUACAGGAAUUUAAGAGAUUAUUUUUGUCCAAAUACUCAUUUUGUAGAUAAUGGAACAGAGACUCAGAGAGAUAAGACUUAUGGGAAGCUCUGUAGCUGGUAAGGAACACAGUCUGAACUUAAGGACAUGGUUUGAAGCCAGGGCUCCUGACCUUUAAGUAAUUGCAAAUUUAAGAGAUUUUCAUUGGAAGGGCACCCUUUUCUGCAUACACUUAAUUUUCCCUUACACACAUAGCACACACACUCACUCAUUCCUACUUCUGGGGGUUGCUUGGGUAAUAUUUACAACAAUGAUCUCAUACCUAUGGUGGGUGACUGGUAAGAAACAUUCGUAACAAAGGCGGCUUUCUCUUGCAGUCAUAUUUUUCCCUGNUC
ensembl:lncRNA